UACGGAGGGUGCGAGCGUUGUCCGGAGUUACUGGGCGUAAAGGGCGCGUAGGCGGCUUUGUGCGUCACCCGUGAAAGCCCCCGGCUCAACCGGGGAGGGUCGGGUGAAACGGCGGAGCUGGAGGCAGCGAGAGGCCGGUGGAAUUCCCGGAGUAGUGGUGAAAUGCGUAGAGAUCGGGAGGAACACCGGUGGCGAAGGCGGCCAGCUGGCGCUGACCUGACGCUGAGGCGCGAAGGCGUGGGGAGCGAACGGG
rnacentral:rRNA from 1 species